rnacentral:rRNA from 1 species
GGCCUACGGGAGGCAGCAGUGAGGAAUAUUGGUCAAUGGGCGGGAGCCUGAACCAGCCAUGCCGCGUGAAGGCGAGUGCCCUACGGGCGUUAAACUUCUUUUGUGCGGGAGCAAUAAGGGCCACGUGUGGCCCGAUGAGAGUACCGCACGAAUAAGCAUCGGCUAACUCCGUGCCAGCAGCCGCGGUAAUACGGGGGAUGCGAGCGUUAUCCGGAUUUAUUGGGUUUAAAGGGUGCGUAGGCGGACUGUUAAGUCAGCGGUAAAAGCCCGGGGCUCAACCCCGGCGAGCCGUUGAAACUGGCUGU